rnacentral:rRNA from 1 species
UUAGUGUCGACCUCAGACGAGCGAGAUUGCCCGCUGAAUUUAAGCAUAUCAAUAAGCGGAGGA